rnacentral:misc_RNA from 1 species
AACGCACCUUGCGCUCCUUGGUAUUCCGAGGAGCAUGCCUGUUUGAGUGUCAUUAAAUUCUCAACCUCACCAGUUUUGUCAUGAGACUGUGUAAGGCUUGGAUUAUGGGAGUUUGUGCAGGCUGCCUCAGUGCGGUCUGCUCUCCUGAAAAGCAUUAGCGAGUUUUAACUGAGCUCCGUCUAUUGGUGUGAUAAUUAUCUACGCCGUGGAUAGAGCUUAGACUUGCUUCUAAACCGUCUGCAAGGACAAUGCCUUUGACAAUUUGACCUCAAAUCAGGUAGGACUACCCGCUGAACUUAA